ensembl:snoRNA LOC120093945 small nucleolar RNA SNORA70
AUGAACUUUAUCUUUGGUGUGCAAUGGUUGCAAACAGCAGCCUCCUUGGUAGUGUAUGUAGCCUAUUGUCUAUAUGGGUUACCUCAAGGGACCUUGGAAACAGUU